GACGAACGCUGGCGGCGUGCCUAAUACAUGCAAGUAGAACGCUGAAGGAGGAGCUUGCUUCUCUGGAUGAGUUGCGAACGGGUGAGUAACGCGUAGGUAACCUGCCUGGUAGCGGGGGAUAACUAUUGGAAACGAUAGCUAAUACCGCAUAAUAGCAGUUGUUGCAUGACAGCUGUUUGAAAGGUGCAAUUGCACCACUACCAGAUGGACCUGCGUUGUAUUAGCUAGUUGGUGGGGUAACGGCCCACCAAGGCGACGAUACAUAGCCGACCUGAGAGGGUGAUCGGCCACACUGGGACUGAGACACGGCCCAGACUCCUACGGGAGGCAGCAGUAGGGAAUCUUCGGCAAUGGACGGAAGUCUGACCGAGCAACGCCGCGUGAGUGAAGAAGGUUUUCGGAUCGUAAAGCUCUGUUGUAGGAGAAGAACGAGUGUGAGAGUGGAAAGUUCACACUGUGACGGUAUCUUACCAGAAAGGGACGGCUAACUACGUGCCAGCAGCCGCGGUAAUACGUAGGUCCCGAGCGUUGUCCGGAUUUAUUGGGCGUAAAGCGAGCGCAGGCGGUUAGAUAAGUCUGAAGUUAAAGGCUGUGGCUUAACCAUAGUACGCUUUGGAAACUGUUUAACUUGAGUGCAAGAGGGGAGAGUGGAAUUCCAUGUGUAGCGGUGAAAUGCGUAGAUAUAUGGAGGAACACCGGUGGCGAAAGCGGCUCUCUGGCUUGUAACUGACGCUGAGGCUCGAAAGCGUGGGGAGCAAACAGG
rnacentral:rRNA from 1 species